UUAAUGAUUCUAUCCUGCCUCUACAGAAGGCAAGAUAUUGUUGUCAAUUUCUCAUUUAAUUUCUGAACUAAUCUUUUCUUACUUCUUACUUCAAAUCAUUUUUUCCUAUCAUUCCACAAUCUCUCACUUUUCAAAGAAUACAACACCUAAACUCUCAACCUACUGAACCAACAGUACAUGCUCGUGUAAGUCUUUUGAAGGCGCAGGGGAAAGAAGGGAGAAAGGAGAGGGUGACAGUUGGGCAUGCCAUUUCACAGUUGAUAAGAAUUUUCUCUAAUUUCUUUCUAAUCUUUUCCAUUAAGUUCAUGACUGGCCACAUUUUACAUGAAGGCAUAAACUAUCCAAGAUAUGUAACCUUGUGCACAUAAGACAAAAUAUUGGCAGCUUGCCGAACCCGCUACUCAAAGUCUGGUAUCAUUCAAGUGAACAAACAAUUUCCAAAAGGAGAAAAAGAAUGAGAAAGGAACAGUGUUGCUUCAAACCAAUAACAAUAUUUGGGUACACAAACAAACAAAAAGAGAGAAUCACUGAACUAAAUGGUUGAAAAGAGUCCUACAGCUAUAACAACCUUUAUGGGCGAUUGAGAAAGGCAAGGCU
rnacentral:misc_RNA from 1 species